UACAGAGGUCUCAAGCGUUGUUCGGAUUCAUUGGGCGUAAAGGGUGCGUAGGCGGCGCGGUAAGUCGGGUGUGAAAUCUCGGAGCUUAACUCCGAAACUGCAUUCGAUACUGCUCUGCUUGAGGACUGGAGAGGAGACUGGAAUUCACGGUGUAGCAGUGAAAUGCGUAGAUAUCGUGAGGAAGACCAGUGGCGAAGGCGGGUCUCUGGACAGUUCCUGACGCUGAAGCGCGAAGGCCAGGGGAGCAAACGGG
rnacentral:rRNA from 1 species